GGAGGAUAAAUAAGGCUCUGUCAGCACAGAGGGAGCUGAAAGUCUAGGCUGGAGAUUUCAGCCUGCAAACUCCCAGACUCCAGGAAGGAACCUUCUCUGCUUUCUCUCUAGUCUCUUUGGAGCACCUUGAGGACAGGAGCUUGGCUUCAAGAAGACAGCAGAAGCACCAGGAGACGGGAAGAUACCUCUGAGAGUUAACCUACAGGAUCGGCAUUCCUGACUGCAGCUGUGCCAUGGACAUAAUAGAAUCUACAACUGAUGAGCCCAUGCUCAGAGGCAAAAAGGGGAAAAGUCUCCAAGAGAUGCUGAGAGAAGCAGGAUUGGCAGUUGAG
rnacentral:lncRNA from 1 species